UACGUAGGGGGCUAGCGUUGUUCGGAAUUACUGGGCGUAAAGGGCGCGUAGGCGGUUCGUUAAGUCCUGUGUGAAAUCCCCCGGCUCAACUGGGGAACUGCACAGGAAACUAGCGGGCUUGAGUUCGGGAGAGGGAAGCGGAAUUCCGGGUGUAGCGGUGAAAUGCGUAGAUAUCCGGAGGAACACCGGUGGCGAAGGCGGCUUCCUGGACCGACACUGACGCUGAGGCGCGAAAGCUAGGGGAGCAAACGGG
rnacentral:rRNA from 1 species